GGGGAGCUUGCUCCCUGGGUGACGAGCGGCGGACGGGUGAGUAAUGUCUGGGAAACUGCCUGAUGGAGGGGGAUAACUACUGGAAACGGUAGCUAAUACCGCAUAACGUCGCAAGACCAAAGAGGGGGACCUUCGGGCCUCUUGCCAUCAGAUGUGCCCAGAUGGGAUUAGCUAGUAGGUGGGGUAAUGGCUCACCUAGGCGACGAUCCCUAGCUGGUCUGAGAGGAUGACCAGCCACACUGGAACUGAGACACGGUCCAGACUCCUACGGGAGGCAGCAGUGGGGAAUAUUGCACAAUGGGCGCAAGCCUGAUGCAGCCAUGCCGCGUGUGUGAAGAAGGCCUUCGGGUUGUAAAGCACUUUCAGCGAGGAGGAAGGUGGUGA
rnacentral:rRNA from 1 species